GCAGGGCUCCCCCGGCCCUGACUCCCUGCAGGGCCCAUGCUCCCCAGCGUGGGCCUGCAGGCUUCCCAACAGCGGGGGCAGCGGGCAUCCAGCAGUUCAGGACAAGGCGGGCUGAGUGAACCAAGUCAGCAAGGUUUCCUGCGGGACUCUGUGCGUCCCUGACGUGCUAACCUUCCCGUAAGUCUCUAGGAAAGGGGGUUACGUGAGUGCUGCGGCGUCCGUCUGUCUGGGGGUAUGCGGUACAGGGGCUCAGAUUCGCGCCCCUUCCUGUCUGUUCCCUCUGCCUCCGUGCUAACUGGAAUCCUCCACCCCACACCUGGGCUUCUGAGAAAGGUUCCUGAACUGAUCUUGCUUCAAACUCCCCUCCAUCAAUUCGGCCUAGAUGUCCCUGCCGUAACUCCCAAGGGCGUCAUUUCACUCCACUACGUAGGAACUGGCAAUGGCGCCAACUCCAAGCCUCUCCGCUCCCCCAGAGCUUCUCAGCAUCCUGCACACUCCAGGAACCAUGACAACAUUGCCUGUUUUAGUAUUUUGCAUAUUCCAGGCUGGUGCUGUGGUGCAGCGAGUAAAGUCGCCACCUGCAACGCCUGGCAUCCCACAUGGGCGCCAGUUCAUGUCCUGACUGCUCCACUUCCAAUUCCAGCUCCCUGCUAAUGGCCCUGACUCCCUGAAGUAGAAGACGGCCUAAGUGCUUGGGUCCCUGCACCCAUGUGGGAGACCAAGAUAAAGCGCCUGGCCUUGGCCUGGCCCAGCUCUGGCCGUUGUGGCCAUCUGGGGUGUGAACCAGUGGACAGAAGACCUUUCUGUCUCUCCCUAACUCUUUCAAAUGUAAAGAAAUAAAUCCUCAAAAAAAAUACAAAAUAAUUUUUAAAUAUAUCAGAUGACUACUUCUACAGCUUCUUCAGGUUGUCCAUGGAACCUUUCCUGACCGCUCCGUGAAACAGGAGGGAGGCUGGGAGGACCACACACAUCUGAGUUCACAGGCAAGCACCACAACACCGAGACGUAGCCUCCAGGCCUGGUACCUCAUCUGCAAACAUGGGAACAACUCCUCUUACUGGCCACUAAAUAACUCGGUUGUUUUCAUACAUGGCCAACCCAUAAGCAAGUUCCCGGAGCGAAAGGCACAGCUCCUCUGCUCUGAAUCCCUGAGGCAGGCACAGGCAACUGGACAGCACGCACUGGCCAAGCCCGCCGAGCUGAAAUUAGCUUCCUGCGCAUUCUGGAGGAGCCAGUGGGGCCCGGCGCACUUGCCACGCCAGUACUUCCACUUUUACUUUAGCCAUCUAGUGCCAAGUGUGCUAGCUGCCUUUAUACACGUUUUAUCUCUUAGCCCUUCCAACAACCCUGAACUGUAAACAAGGAAGCUGAGGAGCAAGGUCACGGUGACUUGCACAGUCACGCACGGUGAGAGGCAGGGCUGGGACUCAACCUCUACGCCCACGACGGCCCUCACCAGUCCACUGCUCCCGGGGAAUUCCUCGCGACCCAGACUUUUAAAAGGAAGUCCCCUCUGCAAACCUCUGUUCAGGACUGUCAGACGAUUCCCACAGAAGUCCUGGGCUAUGAAGAGAGCCUCUGAUUUUGGUCAUCACAGCCAGAGGUCAGAGCCACGAAGACCGGAGGUGAUCUAAAAGACGGGACCGGGCAGAGGUGACCUGCCCCGCACCCACACAGGAGAACCGGAUGGGGCUCCUGGCUCCUGGCUCCUGGCCUGGCCCCGCCCUGGCUGCUGUAAGCACCUGAGGAGUGAAUCAGCAGAGGCAAGACCUCGGGACCUAGUCCAGGUCUCCACUACUGUCUACACCCUCCGAUCAACCCUGAUCCUCCCGCGUGAUCGCUGCCCAGUGAUGACUCUGGAUUUUAACGAAAAGGGAGAUGAGGAGGCAUUUCGCAAGAUCCUUUUCCUCCUUUUGAGCAGGUACAAACAGACAUGAAUUAAAAACUACGGCUUGGGACUUCCUGCUACGUUCCUGAAUGAAGUACUGAUCACCGGGCCAGGCACACGCAAGUGCUCUGUGGUGCUGGCUGUUACUGCCGCGGCUGCGGCUACUGUUACUGCUAUUGCCACUACUACUAUACUACUACCAUUACUACUACGACUACUUCUACUUGUGUCUGGCCCCUGGACAAGACAUUCAAAUCUUCAGAGUCCAAUAUUGAACAGUUCCCCUUCUCAAUGUAUAACCACCACACUUCACUUUUUAAAUGUGGCCCCUCCCACCCGCUCAGGUCCCUUCAACAGGGAGGCUGGACUCUCCCCUCCCACGGGGAUGCUGCGUGCUCACCAAUAUCCUUAAGCUUUUUGUUCCUAUCAACAUGCAUUAUGGAUUUUUUUUUCUGCUACCAUACUCGUUUUCACCUAGUUAGAUUUUAGUAUUUAUUUAUUUGAAAGACAGAGUUACAGAGAGAGAAGGAGAGACAGAGAGAUCUUCCAUCCACUGGCCCCUCUUCAAAUGGCCGCAAUGGCCAGGGCUGUGCCAGCCAGAAACCAGGAGCCCAGAAUUCCAUCCAGGUCUCCCACCUGGGUGGCCAGGACCCAAGCACUUGGUCCAUCUUCCACUGCUCUCCCCAGACACAUUAGCAGGGAGCUGGAUGGGAAAUGGAGCAGCCGGGACUUAAACCAGUGCUCAUACAGGAAGCUCGUGUCACAGGCAGUGGCUUAACCCACCACGCCACAAUGCUGGCCCUUAGUUACGAUUUUCAUAGCUAUUUUAUUUGAGGGACAAAUGCUUAGCUGGCUGCAAGAACAGAUGAUCAUGGAAGAACUGGGAUGAGCCUAGUGAAAAUAGCUGGGGUUUGAGCACUUUCAAAACAGCCCACCAAAGCUACUCCUGCAUCGCUUUAUCCCUAGGACCCUUUCUCUCUCUCUUUAAAACUGACUUAUUUAUUAAAUAGGCAAAAGGACAGAGAGAUCGAGUUUAAGUGGCCGCAACAGCGAGGUCUGUGGGCCCUGGUGGCGUGGGCCCAAGCACUUCGGCUUCAUCCACUGCCUCCUAAGGCACCUUAGCAGGAAGCCGGAUCGGAAGCGGAACGGCCACACUCAGAAUGGCAUUCAGAUACGGGAUGAUGUGUCACACGUGGUGGCUUACCCCUGCCCACUGUACCAUAACACCAUCCCACAACCCUUCUUUUUCAAAGCUCAGACAUGUGAUAAGAUGUAUGAGGUCGAAUACCUACAUCUAGACACGUACACAAUGACCUCGUCCAGUUUGAUCUUUCCUCCAAUUUCACAGGUUGAAACAGAUCCUCCUCAAGCCAGGCCUCUUUACUGUUACAGAUGUGACCGCUACGCUUCAACUCCGGACCAGGGGGCUGGUGCUGCGGCACAGUGGGUAAAGCUUCUGCCUGCGACACCAGCAUCCCACACGGCCACUGGUUUGAGACCCGGCUGCUCCACUUCUGACCCAGCUCCCUACUAACGCACCAGGAGAGGAACGGAAGGUGGCCUGAGUGCUUGGACCACAUGUGGGAGACCCAGAUGGAGUUCUGGGGUCCUGGCUUCAGCUUGUUGCAGACAUUUGGGGAGGGAACUGGCUGAGGGAAGAUCUCUGUCCCUAACUCUGCCUUUAAAAAAAACCUUGGGGGCCAGCCCUGUGGUGCAGUGGGUAAAGCUGCUGCCUGCAGAGCUGGCAUCCCAUAUGGGUACUGGUUCUAGUCCCGGCUGCUCCACUUCCAAUCCAGCUCUCUGCUAUGGCCUGGGAAAGCAGUAAAAGAGGACCCAAGUCCUUGGGCCCCUGCACCCAUGUGAAAGACCUGGAAGAAGCUCCUGGCUCCUGGCUUCAGACUGGCCAAGCUCUGGCCAUUGCAGCCAUUUGGGGAGUGAACCCGUGGAUGAAGAUCCCUCUCUGCCUCUAACUCUCUGCCUUUCCAAUAAAUAAAAAAAGACUUUUAAAAAAAUCCAAUAAAUCAAUCUUCAAAGAAAAAAUAUCGUGAACCAAGGCUCUUUAGCCCAGAUCUUUCUCGGUUCCUAUUAUUUCUAUUUCAAACGUGAGUCGCCGUCUAUCUAAACCUCCAUUUCAGCUCUGCUCUGCCUUUGCAUUUCUCCUUUUAUCUGGCCACAGUUCAACUGCCGAGAUGGACUUCCUCCCAACAAACUGCCCAACAUUUCUCCACUCAGCGGGCGUCUGCAAAUCGGCGCGGAACUGGGGAUCUGAGCACUCGCGCAGCUGGACGCGCCAGCAUCGCUCCCUUCCCUGCAGCUCCAAGCACAUUGCCUUUUCACUUUCAAGCUGCUCCGAAUCCCACGGCUCUCGCUUCGCGGGGCCAGCGCCCGGCUCUGCUGCAGACCCGAGAGGCCCCAUCCUACCCAGCCUGUUUCUCCGCAGUGCCUGGCAGUGCCUGGCACCCUGCGGGCAGCUGGUCAGUGUCUGCUUAACACAUUCCCCCCUCCCUCCCUCUGGAUUCGUCUCACCCCUGUCGCUCUGCCCGUCCACACAGACUUUCUCCACACCAAACACCCGCCACGGAGCUCCACGAGUGGGACUCUUUCGUAUGGCUUUGCUGAUGGGCUCGGGCGAUCUUACACUGUGCUGAGAAGGGAUUCGGGAUGCAGUGCAACUCGCCAGGGUGCUGAGGGGACAGGACCCCGGCUCCCUGCGGUGUCGGCAGCUCUGCAGCGUCCCUCCCCGGAGGGAAGACCCAGUUCAAUUCCUGCUGUCUCCACAAACACGCGGGGGUCCCAGCUGUGCAAUGCACGUUCAACCGUGAGUGGUCUCACCGUGCCCAAAACUUCCCUAGUGAGCACCACUGGAUACACAGAAUCUCACCCUCCUGGUGGUGUCAACUAAACCCUCCGUCCCCAGGAUCAGCACUGGCAAGGCUGUCCCAGGACGGGUCUGGGUACUCCAGUCGCCAGCGCACUCAGGUACUCACUCUAAGUCCUUCUCCGCAGUUUUCCAUCAGCGAGUAAUUGGCAAACCCCCACUGAGGAGCAGAAGAGCUACUUGGGGCUGGCCACCAGACACCGUCUCGAACACCCUGGUCCUCCCUUCUGCUCCUCUCCGGCACGCGACCUGGUGACCUGGGACAAAUUCUGUUCCUCCCAGGGCUGCAUUUCCUGAAGAGUUAACUCUGCCUACUGCCAGAUAAUACCCGUGAUGCCAAUGACACAUUUUCCCUGCCAAGGCUGUGGCACUACUCAGGUAAUUACUGGCACUGGGUAAUAAUUACUCUUGUAAUUUUGUCAGCUCGCUGCGAUUCUUUUAAGAGAAGCUCUGUGGUUGUCUCAGGGUAAAUGGUUCGCUCGGAUGCGUCACACCACCCCAGCCAGGUGGCUUCCAGCUGGCGUUUGGGUCCUGUGCGGCAACAACUGCACCUCCCAGUGAGGGGAGCCAGAGGGGGUCCUCGCGGCCAACACGCACAGCGCCAGGAACCCCGAGGGUGCUGCACCGGGGACCCGCAGGCCUAGCCCUUCCGGCAGGAGCCACCCCCGCCGGGCUCAGUGCCCGAGCUGCUCCCGACUGUCGACGUGCCGCUGCGCCCGUCCAACCCUGCGGGCUCUUUCUCAAACCCUCCAAAGACUCACAGGCCAUCAAAGCCAAGAGAAAACAAGCCACACACCUAACUACCUGCGGGCGAGAAAGGCCAUCUAGAAUAACCCUGGGAGGAGCCAGCAUCUGGAGUCGGCUUCCGAUCAUAGCUUUGUGGGAAACAGACGGCGGAAGCGUGAGCAGCAGCCCGGGGCCUCCCGGAGGGCUGAGCCCCACGCACCCGAGGGUCUGUGGAGCCCAGCACAGCCCACCUGUGAUGACAGCUGACUGUGUGCAGACACCCUGGCCCCCCUCGACGCACGCGCCGGCGGCAGGACUUGAGAGGCACCGGGCCACCACAGCAGUCACCAGCAGGUACAGAUGGGAAUCCCACCCUGGCUCAGUCCCGUCAGGUUCCUCUAGGCUAAGCACUGAAGCGUCCUGAGUUCUGCCUUAGGUAAAAAGGAACUAACAGUGCGUGUAAUACGUGGGAGGGUGCCUGCAAAGAUUUUUUUUUUUUUUUUUUUGACAGGCAGAGUUAGACAGUGAGAGAGAGAGACAGAGAGAAAGGUCUUCCUUCCGUUGGUUCACCCCCCAAAUGGUCGCUACGGCCGGCACACGGUGCUGAUCUGAAGCCAGGAGCCAGGUGCUUCUCCUGGUCUCCCAUGCGGGCGCAGGGCCCAAGGACCUGGGCCAUCCUCCACUGCCUUCCCGGGCCACAGCAGAGAGCUGGACUGGAAGAGGAGCAACCGGGACAGAAUCCGGAGCCUCAACCGGGACUAGAACCCGGGGUGCUGGCUCUGCAGGUGGAGGAUUAGCCAAGUGAGCCAUGGUGCUGGCCUGCAAAAAUUCUGAAGUCGAAUAUGCAUGGAGCCCUAAGAAGUUCACAGAAAUAAAUACUACAAAACAUUA